UACGUAGGCAGCGAGCGUUGUUCGGAGUUACUGGGCGUAAAGGGUGCGUAGGCGGUUGUUUAAGUUUGGUGUGAAAUCUCCCGGCUCAACUGGGAGGGUGCGCCGAAUACUGAAUGACUAGAGUGCGGGAGAGGAGAGUGGCAUUCCUGGUGUAGCGGUGGAAUGCGCAGAUAUCAGGAGGAACACCGAUGGCGAAGGCAGAUCUCUGGGCCGUAACUGACGCUGAGGAGCGAAAGCGUGGGGAGCAAACAGG
rnacentral:rRNA from 1 species